rnacentral:rRNA from 1 species
GACGUAGGGUGCAAGCGUUGUCCGGAUUUAUUGGGCGUAAAGAGCUCGUAGGCGGCUUGUUGCGUCGACUGUGAAAACCCGCGGCUUAACCGCGGGCUUGCAGUUGAUACGGGCAGGCUAGAGUUCGGUAGGGGAGACUGGAAUUCCUGGUGUAGCGGUGAAAUGCGCAGAUAUCAGGAGGAACACCGGUGGCGAAGGCGGGUCUCUGGGCCGAUACUGACGCUGAGGAGCGAGAGCGUGGGGAGCGAACAGG